rnacentral:rRNA from 1 species
UGGGGAAUAUUGCACAAUGGGCGCAAGCCUGAUGCAGCCAUGCCGCGUGUAUGAAGAAGGCCUUCGGGUUGUAAAGUACUUUCAGUCGGGAGGAAGGUGGUAAGGUUAAUAACCUUAUCAAUUGACGUUACCGACAGAAGAAGCACCGGCUAACUCCGUGCCAGCAGCCGCGGUAAUACGGAGGGUGCAAGCGUUAAUCGGAAUUACUGGGCGUAAAGCGCACGCAGGCGGUUGAUUGAGUCAGAUGUGAAAUACCCGGGCUUAAACCGGGAAUUGCAUCUGAUACUGGUCAGCUAGAGUCUUGUAGAGGGGGGUAGAAUUCCAUGUGUAGCGGUGAGAUGCGUAGAGAUGUGGAGGAAUACCGGUGGCGAAGGCGGCCCCCUGGACAAAGACUGACGCUCAGGUGCGAAAGCGUGGGGAGCAAACAGG